GAUUUACUGGGCGUAAAGCGCAUGUAGGCGGUUUUGUAAGUCUGAUGUGAAAGCCCCGAACUCAAUUUGGGAAGUGCAUUGGAUACUGCAAGACUAGAGUAUAGGAGAGGUCGACGGAAUUUCUGGUGUAGAGGUGAAAUUCGUAGAUAUCAGAAGGAACAACAGAGGCGAAGGCGGUUGACUGGACUAUAACUGACGCUGAGAUGCGAAAGUGUGGGGAGCAAACAGGAUUAGAUACCCUGGUAGUCCACACCGUAAACGAUGGAUACUAGAUGUCGGAGGUUCUUACCCCUCCGGUAUCGAAGCUAACGCGUUAAGUAUCCCGCCUGGGAAGUACGGCCGCAAGGUUAAAACUCAAAGAAAUUGACGGGGGCCCGCACAAGCGGUGGAUUAUGUGGUUUAAUUCGAUGCAACGCGCAAAACCUUACCUAGGCUUGACAUCCCACGCUAUCCGGUGAAAGUCGGAGUUCCCUUCGGGGACGUGGAGACAGGUGCUGCAUGGCU
rnacentral:rRNA from 1 species